ensembl:snoRNA
UGGGAAAUGAUGCAUACUUCUUAGCCUGAAAGUUUCAUGAAGGUUUCUUGUAUUCAUACUGUCUGAUCCCA